CGGAGGGGGCAAGCAUUGAUCGGAAUUACUGGGCGUAAAGGGCGCGUAGGCGGCUUUUCAAGUUAGAUGUGAAAUUCCGGGGCUCAACCCCGGAGCUGCAUUUGAAACUAAAGAGCUAGUGGCUAGUAAGGGAAAACAGAAUUCCACGUGUAGCGGUGAAAUGCGUAGAUAUGUGGAAGAAUACCGGUGGUGAAGACGGUUUUCUGUGCUAAGCCAGACGCUGAGGCGCGAAAGCUAGGGGAGCAAACAGGAUUAGAUACCCUGGUAGUCCUAGCCGUAAACGAUGUAUACUGGAUGUAGGAAGGCUCUACCCUUUCUGUAUCGGAGCUAACGCGUUAAGUAUACCGCCUGGGGAGUACGCUCGCAAGGGUG
rnacentral:rRNA from 1 species